rnacentral:lncRNA from 1 species
UGUAAUGAAUCAUGCGAAUGUUUUGCCUUGGGUGGGUUGUUAGUCAUGGCUUUGUGAUGGCGUUAUGCUUCUACACAAGGUUUCUUGUGCAUGUUCUUGUUACAUGCACCCGGUGAUUUAGAUGUUUGUGUGAAUAUAUAUGGUUGUUGGAUUAUGUGUAGUUAUACGUGGCCAUGUGGCAACGCUCAAAUAGCCUGAAUUUGUAUUAGCAUGAUCUUUGUUGUGGUAUAACGGUCAUUAUCGACCAAUUUAUGUGAAUAGACUAGUAUAGACAUAGUUUGUGAUUCCUCUAUACUUAUGGUCUAGAUGGCGCUUUGCGCAUGUAUGAAUGUUUGUGAUGAUGUUUUGCGUACGGUUACUUUAAUGUAACCUACAGAAAUGUGAAGACGUGUCUAGCCUGGGUGUGAUGUUUAGUAUGAUGAUGGGUACAACUUUUGAUGGGUACGACCAUGUGAAUUUUAUACAAUUGGGUGGUUGACGAGUGGCGGUAGCCACGAAAUGUGAUAAGUGUAUUUACCUAGGUUUAGAAAUUGAGUAUAUGAAGUUAGAGGAUGGUAGUUGGGUGAGAUAUGACAGGGUGUUGACGAGCUAAUAAUAACUGGGAAUUUGACGGUGCCUACAACACUAUCACUGGCAAAGGGACGAUGUCGCUAGUGACAAGACAAAUCAUGGAAAGAGGAUGGCUUGUUACUGAUGGAACUCUCAUGCGUAAGUUAAUAUAUUGAGAGUUUUGGAAGGUUACACUAUAGUGAUCAAGUAGUAGAGAUGUGAAUUACGAAACGUGAAUGCCUAACGAGAAAGGUGUCAAAUGACGAGCUGUAUGUGGGUUGUAAGGGCGACUGAUAGAAAUCUCAGGUUGAGAGCAGGUGAUGAAUAAUAAAUACUCUUGUCGAAACCGAGUAUGGUAUUCGAAUUGGGAAUAGAAACAACGUUAAUAAUGUCUUACAGUGGUAGAGAGUCACACAAGGGUGCAGGCAUGGAAUGACAAGAUAAUGGAUGUAUGCAGUUAUAUUCGAGCAAGGAUUCGAGGACGAAUCCUCUUUUAAGGGGGGGUAGACUUGUAACAUCCCAAAUUCUUCCUACCCAAUUUUAUUUUGUGAGAAAUUACCGAAUCUAGUUUGCGAGCACGAGACGAAGCAUGGUUUUAAUCACAACAAAUUUAAUUUGGUGAAACUUGAGGGGGCACUAGGUAAUUUAUAAAACUAUAACAUAUUACUUUAUGGACAUGUUGAUUUAUGGAAGAACUAAAGGGACUUUAUUGUAAAUUCUCAAUUUAUAUAACCAUUCUCCUUUCAUCACGUAAAAAAAAAAUCUAGAGAUCCUCAUCAUCAUCUUUGCGAAACCCUAUUGCGCCGCAACCACCAUCCAAAACAUGUAUCCUUCAUCUCAUUUAACAUGAUCAAGCACGAACCUUGAUUCCUUCGCGACUUCGAAUUCAUCUCAAUAGGCCUGUAUUGUUCCGGUAGCGGUAGCGGAAACAAGAUUGAUCAGGUUAGUUCGUAUGCUUUGAUCUCGUUUCGCUUAAGUCGUUGUAUAAGAGUUCUUGGGGUCGGGUUGUCGGCUGAAAACAAAACCAUGUUGAGACGCGUUAGAUCAGGAUUCCGGGGUUUCGAAGGCUGCCAUCUAAGAGCUCUUGAAGCUUGGUGGGUGUUGAUCUCAAACUACAGUACGGGUACAUAAUCUUUGAAAAACUCACGGUCUUGUCCGAUGGUUGGGUUCGGGAUGAACAAAACGGUUUGUCGGAAUCACGACCCGCACAUGGUAGGGUCACGGCUUGGGUGGUUAAAAGAAACCCGAUUAGAUUUACAUGUUGUUGAUUAUCCUAAAUUAAUCACGACAGGAACUUGAAGCCUUGUUACAUGACAGAACCGAGCCGUGAGUACUGUGUAGUUGGCGAUAUGGCGUGGCUUCUUUGUUAAGGUGCUUGUGGUUAAGGUUUAGGGUGGUAUAGUGGUUGUGAAGUUGUGAUUAUGAAGACAACAUGGAAUUAUAAUUAUAUACCUUGAUACAUGGGGUGUAGGUGUGUGCAUGAUACUUUAUAAAUCAAGUCUAAAGUGGCUCAAGGAUGACAAGACGAUGAUGACUUGAAAAAAACAUAGAAGUUUGUAAUCUCAUGGUGGUUAUAUCGUGCAUGCAUCAGCUAAGUGGAGGUAUGCAGUUUAGGUUUUGAUAUUAUAAUUAACUGUGUUUUUUUAAGCAUGCAU